rnacentral:sRNA from 1 species
GCCGGGCAUGGUGGCUCACGCCUGUAAUCCCAGCACUUUGGGAGGCCGAGGCGGGUGGAUCACAAGGUCAGGAAAUCGAGGCCAUCCUGGCCAACAUGGUGAAACCCCAUCUCUACUAAAAAUACAAAAAUUAGCUGAGUUUGGUGGCAUGAGCCUGUAAUCCCAGUUACUUCGGAGGCUGAGGCAGGAGAAUUGCUUGAACCUGGGAGGUGGAGAUUGUAGUGAGCUGAGAUACCACCACAUCUGGCUAAUUUUUUGUAUUUUUAGUAGAGAUGGGGUUUUACCAUGUUGGCUAGGCUAGUCUCGAAUUCCUGACCUCAGGUGAUCUGCCCGUCUUGG